UUAAUAAUUUAUAUAAAAUAUUUUGAUGAAUAUUUAUAUAAUAUUAACAUAAUUCAUAUUACUAUAUAUUUUAGUAUAUGAAAUUUUACUUUGAGAAAAUUAGAGUGCUUAAAGCAGGCAUAUGCCUUGAAUACUCCAGCAUGGAAUAAUAUUAAAGAUUUUUAUCUUUCUUAUUGGUUCUAAGAUAAGAAUAAUGAUUAAUAGGGACAGUUGGGGGCAUUUGUAUUUAACAGUCAGAGGUGAAAUUCUUAGAUUUGUUAAAGACAAACUAAUGCGAAAGCAUUUGCCAAGGAUGUUUUCAUUAAUCAAGAACGAAAGUUAGGGGAUCGAAGACGAUCAGAUACCGUCGUAGUCUUAACCAUAAACUAUGCCAACUAG
rnacentral:rRNA from 1 species